rnacentral:lncRNA from 1 species
CCAGAUAAUCUUCAAGUUCACAAGAUUGAAAAGACUUGCCAGCAAAUCAAAGUUAUUGAUCAUUAGAUCAUAGCUUGAUUCGUACAAAUCACUGUCUAUGUGUAGCUCAAUCACAUGACGAGUUAGAUUGUAGCACACAAUCCAUUCCCAUUCACAAUCAUCUUUUCCAACAAUCCAAGAGGAGAGAAAGUUUUUAGGAUCAUAUACUUCUUUCUUUGAACUCUUCAACGCUUGUUGCUCAUUUUCUCUGCAAAUGCCAAUACAAACGCUAAACUUGGUGUUUGUCAAAAUGAAAAUCAAGAAAAAGCAUAAUGUUAUUGUUAACACCUUCAUGAUGUGCAAAGCUUUAGACUAGUAACUGAAAAGUAUGUAUUAAGUAGCUAUUUUCUUGUAGAUUGUUAUUAGGAAAGGCGUACGUAUAAUAUUUAGAACUGUAGUUGAAGAAUAAAUUGUCUAGAAAGAUAUUGAC